rnacentral:rRNA from 1 species
UACGUAGGGCGCAAGCGUUGUCCGGAAUUAUUGGGCGUAAAGAGCUCGUAGGCGGUUUGUCGCGUCUGCUGUGAAAACCUAAGGCUCAACCUCGGGCGUGCGAUGGAUACUGCCGGGCUAGAGGAUGGUAGAGGCGAGUGGAAUUCCCGGUGUAGCGGUGAAAUGCGCAGAUAUCGGGAGGAACACCAGUAGCGAAGGCGGCUCGCUGGGCCAUUCCUGACGCUGAGACGCGAAAGCUAGGGGAGCGAACAGG